rnacentral:rRNA from 1 species
GUUUGAUCCUGGCUCAGAACGAACGCUGGCGGCAGGCUUAACACAUGCAAGUCGAGCGCCCCGCAAGGGGAGCGGCAGACGGGUGAGUAACGCGUGGGAAUCUACCCUUUUCUACGGAAUAACGCAGGGAAACUUGUGCUAAUACCGUAUAAGCCCUUCGGGGGAAAGAUUUAUCGGGAAAGGAUGAGCCCGCGUUGGAUUAGCUAGUUGGUGGGGUAAAGGCCUACCAAGGCGACGAUCCAUAGCUGGUCUGAGAGGAUGAUCAGCCACAUUGGGACUGAGACACGGCCCAAACUCCUACGGGAGGCAGCAGUGGGGAAUAUUGGACAAUGGGCGCAAGCCUGAUCCAGCCAUGCCGCGUGAGUGAUGAAGGCCCUAGGGUUGUAAAGCUCUUUCACCGGUGAAGAUAA